rnacentral:rRNA from 1 species
UACGAAGGGGGCUAGCGUUGCUCGGAAUUACUGGGCGUAAAGCGCACGUAGGCGGCUUCUUAAGUCGGUGGUGAAAUCCUGGAGCUCAACUCCAGAACUGCCUUCGAUACUGGGAGCUCGAGUCCGGGAGAGGUGAGUGGAACUGCGAGUGUAGAGGUGAAAUUCGUAGAAUAUUCGCAAGAACACCAGUGGCGAAGGCGGCUCACUGGCCCGGUACUGACGCUGAGGUGCGAAAGCGUGGGGAGCAAACAGG